GCAGCCGCCGCGGUAAAACGGAGGGUGCAAGCGUUACUCGGAAUCACUGGGCGUAAAGGACGCGUAGGCGGAUUAUCAAGUCUCUUGUGAAAUCUAACGGCUUAACCGUUAAACUGCUUGGGAAACUGAUAAUCUAGAGUAAGGGAGAGGCAGAUGGAAUUCUUGGUGUAGGGGUAAAAUCCGUAGAUAUCAAGAAGAAUACCUAUUGCGAAGGCGAUCUGCUGGAACUUAACUGACGCUAAUGCGUGAAAGCGUGGGGAGCAAACAGGAUUAGAUACCCCGGUAGUCCCUGUCUCUUAUAC
rnacentral:rRNA from 1 species